CAGGCUACCAUGCAGUCGAGCGCCGUAUCAUACGGAGCGGCAGACGGGAGAGUACUCGUGGGAACGUGCCCUUUGGUUCGGAACAACCCAGGGAAACUUGGGCUAAUACCGGAUAAGCCCUUACGGGGAAAGAUUUAUCGCCGAAGGAUCGGCCCGCGUCUGAUUAGCUAGUUGGUGGGGUAAUGGCCCACCAAGGCGACGAUCAGUAGCUGGUCUGAGAGGAUGAUCAGCCUCACUGGGACUGAGACACGGCCCAGACUCCUACGGGAGGCAGCAGUGGG
rnacentral:rRNA from 1 species